rnacentral:rRNA from 1 species
UACGGAGGGUGCAAGCGUUAUCCGGAUUCACUGGGUUUAAAGGGCGCGUAGGCGGUCCCGAAAGUCAGGGGUGAAAUCCCACGGCCCAACCGUGGAAGUGCCUCUGAUACUGCGGGUCUAGAGGGAGGUAGGGGCGUGCGGAACUUCCGGUGGAGCGGUGAAAUGCGUAGAUAUCGGAAGGAACACCGGUGGCGAAAGCGGCGCGCUGGACCUCUUCUGACGCUGAGGCGCGAAAGCCAGGGGAGCAAACGGG